AGCAUCAAGCAACACCUCUUCAGACACAAGUGUCAGGAAAAAAGGAGAAGCAAGAGUUAAACUAAACUGCGCAAAGAAUUUCAACAGAGCUGAUGGAUGGAGCUGUUCCCUCACCUUACCCAAAGGGCAGAAGUCAUGAAGGUGCAUUGAUGGAUAGCAGACAUGACCUCCAGUCUGCUUCUCAUCUCAGGCAGAAGAGAGUAGUGAACACAGACUUCCAGCCUUCAGUCCUGCAUUUCUCGGAAAUGCAUGUCCAUGUGGUGGAAGGUGUGCAAUAACUUGAUUUAUACAGAUGUUCAGUAGAAAGAAAUAAUGCAAGUUCCUGGUUCACACAGAUGAACAUUCCUGUGUGUGUUUUGCAGGGGGUGCUUCAUCCUUUCUGUUAUAACAUGCCAGAGUCAAAAAACCAAAUCAGAUGUUGGAAAAAGGAGUUGACACCAUAAAAGAGAACUUCAUUAUACCUGUGGUGACCCCACAUUACUCACAUCCUGAUGACUGUAUGGAGUUGUGUCCCAUCCAUCUCAAAAAGGAAUCCUCUUCCAGCCAAUGUCUGGGGUGGCAUAAUGUGCAGAAGAAAAUUUGGGUCCCACCUGAAAAAGUUGCUGCUUCCUGAAAAAAGUGGACUUGUGCAGGGAUCUAACUGUGAGACAGGCUGAACAUAGAAUGUGGAGCAGAAGGUGCUAACACAGGAUAACGAUGAUCCACCUACGAGAAAUGCAGUUCAGCAGUACCAGAUCAUCCCUCCGAGCACUGCUUACUUCUGCUAGAGCUGGAAAUCACAAAAACUGCAUUGCAAGCCCUUCAGAAUUCUUGGCAGCAUUGUGAAUACACAGUCCAAUAGAUUAGUGCUUUGCUGCAAUUUUUGGAGCUCAGCUAAAGGCAUAUUCAAAGACCCUGCUGUUCAGAUUGUGAACAGUCUCAUCCCUGUUCAAUAAUGUCUGAAGCCCAGGAAUAACCAGCACCCUGUGAGGAAAUUCAGUUGAAAGGCGUUCACAUCCAGAUGUUUGUCUGAUCCAUAUAUCCAAUGAAGAAAUUUUAUUGUCUUCUUUUAAACUCUGUUUUCAGCUCUCCUUUAAAUCACAGUGCAACCUAUGUGCUCCAGAGUAAAACUUCAUGGGUUUUGACAACAUUAGAAUCAUAGAAUCAAUUUUUGGGGGAGGGUAGGGUGAGGCAAAGUCUGUAUGUAACCAUGGCUUAGAUAGAACAGGCACUUUCAAAAUGCAAAACCAAACUUAAUUAUAAUUUUGUUCUGAACUUAGAUGUCAAUUAGGCCUUAAUGACCUAAUGAUGCCAUUAUAAAUAUUUGUGCAGACUUAAGCUAAAAGCAAAGAUUUUAACUUUUUAUUAAAAAAAAACCCAACUGUGAACAUGAGUGUCCACCAUCAAAGCAAUGAUAAAUCAAACUUUAAAUUAAACAGUGCCAGUUCUAUUUGCCAACAUGCCAACAGUUACAAGAGAGUGAAGUCAAAGUGCAGGCUCUUGAAGAUUGCUUACAGUGAUCUGCUUGCAGAGUUUGCAAAUACAAUGAUUUCCUCAUUUGCUGAGUGACAGCUAAUGCAGGAGCCUGGCUAACAUAUACCAGCCUUCCUUCCUGCAAGCUCUGAGGUAGGGUAACAUUAAUGGAGGAUACAGAACAGGCAGUUUUGGGAGAGUAAAUUGCCAUCAAUAAUUUCUCUGAUAAUUGUUACUUUUCUCUUUUUUUUUCUUUUCUUCACAAAUUGUCCAUGAAUAAGUUAUGGCUGAAAUAAUGUGCUGAAGAGGAAGAAUUUCUGCCACUGUGUCUAUCAUGAACUCUUUUCUAUGAAUGUAUGAUUGACUAAGGUCAGGCAGCUUUGCCUACACACAUAUGUUAUGUGUAUUGUUUCUUUUCCAUCAUUGGUUGGCAGGAAAUC